UUUUACAAUGAAGAGUUUGAUCCUGGCUCAGGAUGAACGCUAGCUACAGGCUUAACACAUGCAAGUCGAGGGGCAGCAUGUAUCUGGCUUGCCAGAUACGAUGGCGACCGGCGCACGGGUGAGUAACGCGUAUCCAACCUGCCCCGUACACGGGGAUAGCCUUCCGAAAGGGAGAUUAAUACCCGAUGAUGUCAGGAGUUCGCAUGUAAACCUGACUAAAGUUAUUACGGUACGGGAGGGGGGUGCGUUCCAUUAGGUAGUAGGCGGGGUAACGGCCCACCUAGCCUACGAUGGAUAGGGGUUCUGAGAGGAAGGUCCCCCACAUUGGAACUGAGACACGGUCCAAACUCCUACGGGAGGCAGCAGUGAGGAAUAUUGGUCAAUGGCCGUGAGGCUGAACCAGCCAAGUAGCGUGAAGGAUGACGGCCCUACGGGUUGUAAACUUCUUUUAUGCGGGAUUAACGUGAGGUACGUGUACCUUAUUGCAGGUACCGCAUGAAUAAGCAUCGGCUAACUCCGUGCCAGCAGCCGCGGUAAUACGGAGGAUGCAGGCGUUAUCCGGAUUUAUUGGGUUUAAAGGGAGCGCAGACGGCAUGUCAAGUCAGCUGUGAAAGUUCGGGGCUCAACCUUGGAAUUGCAGUUGAAACUGGCGUGCUUGAGUUCGGUCGAGGCAGGCGGAAUUCGUGGUGUAGCGGUGAAAUGCUUAGAUAUCACGAAGAACCCCGAUUGCGAAGGCAGCUUGCCAGGCCUGGACUGACGUUGAGGCUCGAAGGUGCGGGUAUCGAACAGGAUUAGAUACCCUGGUAGUCCGCACGGUAAACGAUGGAUACUCGCUGUCGGCGAUACACGGUCGGCGGCCAAGCGAAAGCGUUAAGUAUCCCACCUGGGGAGUACGCCGGCAACGGUGAAACUCAAAGGAAUUGACGGGGGCCCGCACAAGCGGAGGAACAUGUGGUUUAAUUCGAUGAUACGCGAGGAACCUUACCCGGGCUUGAACUGUGCCUGACUGCCUCAGAGAUGGGGCUUCCAGCAAUGGCAGGCAUGGAGGUGCUGCAUGGUUGUCGUCAGCUCGUGCCGUGAGGUGUCGGCUUAAGUGCCAUAACGAGCGCAACCCCUCCCGCCAGUUGCCAUCAGGUAAAGCUGGGCACUCUGGGGGCACUGCCACCGCAAGGUGUGAGGAAGGUGGGGAUGACGUCAAAUCAGCACGGCCCUUACGUCCGGGGCUACACACGUGUUACAAUGGGAGGUCACAGAGGGCUGCUACCCGGCGACGGGACGCCAAUCCCCAAACCCUCCCUCAGUACGGACUGGAGUCUGCAACCCGACUCCACGAAGCUGGAUUCGCUAGUAAUCGCGCAUCAGCCACGGCGCGGUGAAUACGUUCCCGGGCCUUGUACACACCGCCCGUCAAGCCAUGAAAGCCGGCGGUGCCUGAAGUGCGUAACCGCAAGGGGCGCCCUAGGGUAAAGCCGGUGAUUGGGGCUAAGUCGUAACAAGGUAGCCGUACCGGAAGGUGCGGCUGGAACACCUCCUUUCU
rnacentral:rRNA from 1 species